GGCCCUUCGUUUAUAAUUUAUAUAAAGGGUCCGGCCUGCCCGGUGACUCUUAGAUGAUAGUGUUAAACGGCCGCGGUAUUCUAACUGUGCAAAGGUAGCAUAAUCAUUUGCCUAUUAAUUGUGGGCUUGUAUGAAUGGUCAGACGAGGGCCUAGCUGUCUUUUUGUGAAUACUUAGAAUUUAUUUUCUAGGUGAAAAUUCCUAGGUGAGACUGAGGGACGAUAAGACCCUAUUGAGCUUUAGUGUAGCUGUUGAUCUGGAUUAUAUUUAUAUAAUUAUCUGGUUUUAUGGUGACAUCUUUGAUUGGGGCGAUCGAGAAGUAGAAGUAACCUUUUUUGAAAUUCUAUUUGCUGAUGGGUUUUGAUCUGGCGUAAAUGUAGAAGAAAGAAUAAGUUACCAUAGGGAUAACAGCGUAAUUUUUCUGGAGAGUUCUUAUUGAGAGAAAAGUUUACGACCUCGAUGUUGGACUAAGUUAUCCUAAGGGCGUAGGGGCUCUUAAGGGUUGGUCUGUUCGACCAUUAAAAUCUU
rnacentral:rRNA from 1 species